rnacentral:tRNA from 7 species
GCGAGAGUGGCGGAAUUGGUAGACGCACUGGAUUUAGGUUCCAGCGCCGCAAGGCGUGGGGGUUCGAGUCCCUUCUCUCGCACCA